UACGGGGGGGGCAAGCGUUGUUCGGAAUUACUGGGCGUAAAGGGCUCGUAGGCGGCCAACUAAGUCAGACGUGAAAUCCCUCGGCUUAACCGGGGAACUGCGUCUGAUACUGGAUGGCUUGAGUUCGGGAGAGGGAUGCGGAAUUCCAGGUGUAGCGGUGAAAUGCGUAGAUAUCUGGAGGAACACCGGUGGCGAAGGCGGCAUCCUGGACCGACACUGACGCUGAGGAGCGACAGCGUGGGGAGCAAACAGG
rnacentral:rRNA from 1 species